AGAGUUUGAUCCUGGCUCAGGGCGAACGCUGGCGGCGUGCUUAACACAUGCAAGUCGAGUGCGCGGUCGUAGCAAUACGGCUGGCGCACGGCGCACGGGUGCGUAACACGUGGGCAACCUGCCCUCCAAUGGGGGAUACCCCCGCGAAAGCGGGACUAAUACCGCAUGAUAUUCCUGGGACUUCUGUUUCGGGACUCAAAGGUCGCAAGAUCGUUGGAGGAGGGGCCCGCGCCCGAUUAGCUAGUUGGCGAGGUAACGGCUCACCAAGGCUUUGAUCGGUAGCCGGUCUGAGAGGAUGGCCGGCCACACUGGAACUGAGACACGGUCCAGACUCCUACGGGAGGCAGCAGUGGGGAAUCUUGCGCAAUGGGCGAAAGCCUGACGCAGCGACGCCGCGUGGGGGAUGAAGCUUCUCGGAGUGUAAACCCCUUUCGACCCGGACGAAACACCCGCAAGGGUUUGACGGUACGGGUAUAAGAAGCCCCGGCUAACUACGUGCCAGCAGCCGCGGUAAGACGUAGGGGGCCAGCGUUGCUCGGAAUUACUGGGCGUAAAGGGUUCGUAGGCGGUGUGGCAAGUCGGGAGUGAAAUCUCUGGGCUUAACCCAGAGGCUGCUUCCGAAACUGCCGUGCUAGAGUGCGGGAGAGGCGAGUGGAAUUGCAGGUGUAGCGGUGAAAUGCGUAGAUAUCUGCAGGAACACCCGUAGCGAAGGCGGCUCGCUGGACCGCAACUGACGCUGAGGAACGAAAGCUAGGGGAGCAAACAGGAUUAGAUACCCCGGUAGUCC
rnacentral:rRNA from 1 species